GAGAGCCAUAGAGAGCCAGAGACAUCGAUGAGAGAGAAACAUCGAUCACCUGCCUCCUGCCCACCUUCUACUGGGGAUGUAAACGCAACCGAGUGCCCCCAGUUACACUGGAUUGAUGGGAGCAUUGUAAAUUUUAGCCACUGGGCUCAUCGUCUUGGGCACGGCCACUGUGUGACCCUAUCCACCAGAGGUGGUUAUUGGCGACAAUCAUGUUGCGAAAGACUUCUGCCCUUCGUCUGCUCCUCCUAAGCCAGUGGCAAGGAAAAGAUCCUGCCUGGAGCCCCUUCCCUACACCCCUCCUGGCAGCCCCUGGCCUUCCCUGGACACUGGGCAGGACUCCCAGCCUCUCCUGGUCAUAAAGCCAUGUUUCCCACUGCA